rnacentral:rRNA from 1 species
GUUGUAUAGUCAAGUAAUUAAGUGCAUGUGGUGGAUGCCUUGGCAGUCAGAGGCGAUGAAAGACGUGAUAGCCUGCGAAAAGCUCCGGGGAGGCGGCAAAUAUCCUUUGAUCCGGAGAUGUCUGAAUGGGGGAACCCACCUACUUUAAGGUAGGUAUUGCAACAUGAAUACAUAGUGUUGCAAGGCGAACGAGGGGAAGUGAAACAUCUCAGUACCCUUAGGAAAAGAAAUCAAUUGAGAUUCCCUCAGUAGCGGCGAGCGAACGGGGAUCAGCCCAUUAAGUUAUGUGUGUUUUAGUGGAACGCUCUGGGAAGUGCGAACGUAGAGGGUGAUAUUCCCGUACACGAAAGGGCACACAUAAUGAUGACGAGUAGGGCGAGGCACGUGAAACCUUGUCUGAAUAUGGGGGGACCAUCCUCCAAGGCUAAAUACUCCUGACUGACCGAUAGUGAACCAGUACCGUGAGGGAAAGGCGAAAAGAACCCCUGUGAGGGGAGUGAAAUAGAUCCUGAAACCGCAUGCAUACAAGCAGUGGGAGCACCUUCGUGGUGUGACUGCGUACCUUUUGUAUAAUGGGUCAGCGACUUAUAUUCAGUAGCGAGGUUAACCGUAUAGGGGAGCCGUAGAGAAAUCGAGUCUUAAUAGGGCGUUUAGUUGCUGGGUAUAGACCCGAAACCAGGCGAUCUAUCCAUGAGCAGGUUGAAGGUUGGGUAACACUAACUGGAGGACCGAACCCACUGUCGUUGAAAAGCCAGGGGAUGACUUGUGGAUAGGGGUGAAAGGCUAAUCAAGCCUGGUGAUAGCUGGUUCUCCCCGAAAGCUAUUUAGGUAGCGCCUCGGACGAAUACCAUAGGGGGUAGAGCACUGUUUCGGCUAGGGGGUCAUCCCGACUUACCAAACCGAUGCAAACUCCGAAUACCUAUGAGUACUAUCCGGGAGACAGACUGCGGGUGCUAACGUCCGUAGUCAAGAGGAAAACAAUCCAGACCGCCAGCUAAGGCCCCAAAAUCAUAGUUAAGUGGGAAACGAUGUGGGAAGGCAUAGACAGCUAGGAGGUUGGCUUANNNNNNNNNNNNNNNNNNNNNNNNNNNNNNNNGAAGCAGCCACCCUUUAAAGAAAGCGUAAUAGCUCACUAGUCGAGUCGGCCUGCGCGGAAGAUGUAACGGGGCUAAAACUAUGUGCCGAAGCUGCGGAUUUGACAUUAGUCAAGUGGUAGGGGAGCGUUCUGUAAGCCGAUGAAGGUGUAUUGAGAAGUNNNNNNAUGCUGGAGGUAUCAGAAGUGCGAAUGCUGACGUGAGUAACGACAAAACGGGUGAAAAACCCGUUCGCCGAAAGACCAAGGGUUCCAGUCCAACGUUAAUCGGGGCUGGGUGAGUCGACCCCUAAGGCGAGGCCGAAAGGCGUAGUCGAUGGGAAAAUGGUUAAUAUUCCAUUACUUCUGUGUAAUGCGAUGAGAGGACGGAGAAGGCUAAAUCAGCCUGGCGUUGGUUGUCCAGGUGAAAGGAUGUAGGCAUGUAUCUUAGGCAAAUCCGGGGUACUCUAUGCUGAGAUCUGAUAGCAAGCUGUACUUGUACAGCGAAGUGGUUGAUGCCAUGCUUCCAGGAAAAGUCUCUAAGCUUCAGUUACACAGGAAUCGUACCCGAAACCGACACAGGUGGUCAGGUCGAGUAGACCAAGGCGCUUGAGAGAACUCUGCUGAAGGAACUAGGCAAAAUGGUACCGUAACUUCGGGAGAAGGUACGCUGUUGUUGGUGAUGGAACUCGCUUCCUGAGCUGACGACAGCCGCAGAAACCAGGCCGCUGCAACUGUUUAUUAAAAACAUAGCACUCUGCAAACACGAAAGUGGACGUAUAGGGUGUGAUGCCUGCCCGGUGCUGGAAGGUUAAUUGAUGGGGUUAGCGUAAGCGAAGCUCUUGAUCGAAGCCCCAGUAAACGGCGGCCGUAACUAUAACGGUCCUAAGGUAGCGAAAUUCCUUGUCGGGUAAGUUCCGACCUGCACGAAUGGCAUAAUGAUGGCGGCGCUGUCUCCAGCAGAGGCUCAGUGAAAUCGAAAUCGCUGUGAAGAUGCAGUGUACCCGCGGCUAGACGGAAAGACCCCGUGAACCUUUACUGCAGCUUGACACUGAACUUUGACCUUACUUGUGUAGGAUAGGUGGGAGGCUUUGAAGCUGGAACGCUAGUUCCAGUGGAGCCGUCCUUGAAAUACCACCCUGGUAAUGUUGAGGUUCUAACUCUGUCCCGUGAUCCGGGACGAGGACCGUGUCUGGUGGGUAGUUUGACUGGGGCGGUCUCCUCCUAAAGAGUAACGGAGGAGUACGAAGGUGCGCUCAGCGUGGUCGGAAAUCACGCGUAGAGUAUAAAGGCAAAAGCGCGCUUAACUGCGAGACCCACAAGUCGAGCAGGUACGAAAGUAGGUCUUAGUGAUCCGGUGGUUCUGUAUGGAAGGGCCAUCGCUCAACGGAUAAAAGGUACUCUGGGGAUAACAGGCUGAUACCGCCCAAGAGUUCAUAUCGACGGCGGUGUUUGGCACCUCGAUGUCGGCUCAUCUCAUCCUGGGGCUGAAGCAGGUCCCAAGGGUAUGGCUGUUCGCCAUUUAAAGAGGUACGCGAGCUGGGUUUAGAACGUCGUGAGACAGUUCGGUCCCUAUCUACCGUGGGCGCUGGAAAUUUGAGAGGAUCUGCUCCUAGUACGAGAGGACCAGAGUGGACGAACCUCUGGUGUACCGGUUGUGACGCCAGUCGCAUCGCCGGGUAGCUAUGUUCGGAAGGGAUAACCGCUGAAAGCAUCUAAGCGGGAAGCCUACCUCAAGAUAAGAUUUCCCUAGGACUUUAUGUCCUCUAAAGAGCCGUUCGAGACUAGGACGUUGAUAGGUUGGAUGUGGAAGCAUAGUGAUAUGUGAAGCUGACCAAUACUAAUUGCUCGUGAGGCUUGACUAUACAACACCCAAGCAGUUG